rnacentral:lncRNA from 1 species
UACAGGGACGUCAAGUAAAGUUAACCGUCUUUGUAAGGAUCAGCGAGAUCUGGCAGGAAGUUCCCACAGACGGGCCAGACGCACUGAGUUACGCUGUUCGUUCAGUGGCGGCCUCUAGCGGGGGGGAAGACUCCACCCGCCUUUAGGUUUUUUUAAGGAUCAAUCUCAGCGCGCCUCUGUGAUCCGUCAGCAGAGGGCGACCGUGGCCUGCGCGACUGAACAGCGCCUCGGAAAAGCAAGUUGGCUUGUCCUUGAUCAGCUCAGUUCCUGACCUCAUGAACCUUGCAAUGAAGAUGAAGGGUUUCCCAUGUCUUAGUAUUCUGUGUAAAAAACAAGAAAAUACUUCCUCUAAGGUGAGUAGCCCUCCCAUCAGUCAAAAGACAGAAAAUGAGCCCCCUCUGCUACUGUUGGCUGACUCUGUUGCACUACUGUGUCUUUGAAUUAUUGGGAACACUUCAGUGAUAACGAGUUGCAGGGAAGCUGGGCAGGCUGGUGCUCUCCUUUAAUUGAAGCACUCGGAGGGCAGAAACAAGCUGUUCUCUGAGACUGAAGUCAGCCAAAGUUACACAGUGAGAACCUCUCUCAAAAUUGCAGGCAAAGGACUAUCACAGUAGUUCCGUGUUUCCAGGUUCCCAAGGAUUUAGUACAUUGCCAUCUGAGUUCCUGAUGCCCUUCCCUUCCUUAUAACUUACUUGUUUUUAUUUCCUAUACAUGGUUUUGCCUGCAUUCAUGUCUGUGUAAGGAUGUCAGAUCCCCUGGAACUGGAGUAACAGAUAGUUGUGAGCUUCGGUGUGAGUGCUGGAAAUUGAACCCAGAUCCUCUGGAAGAGUGA